AAUUGAGUAGCUUUAGAUAUUACUAUUUUCUUUAAAGAGGAAAGAGACAAAUUCCUUUUUUAGUUGAGAAACCAACUGAACCAUGGUGAAGUGGAGCUGAAAGAAAUCAGGAACAAGGAGAAGAAAUGAGCACAGUGCAGAGGAAAAGAGGCUGGAAUAGCAGGGCUGUCGGAUGUGAUUUAUGAGGAAGGAAGAUGGUUUAAGCACAACUCUAUGUGGUUUGUGUUUGCCUUUGGGCAUACGAGUGCCGUGGGAAAUGAACUGCCUUGGACACAGAAGUGUUGCUUGCUUCCUUGUACCCCAUUGUGGAAGCACAGAGUAAAAGGUUUCUGCUUCUGUAAAGCAACACAAGUGUCUGGAAGACCCAUGUGCAGAGACAACAGGACAGCAGUGAUCACAAAGAGGGAUGAGGGUCAUUGUAUCUAA
rnacentral:lncRNA from 1 species